AUGACAUAAAGGCCAAAACCUUUAUCCCCUCAGCAAAUUCAUCCUAAGAAUAUAUGUUCAGCUCACUUAAGUUGGGUGUUUUUUUUAAGACAGCUAGACUGUAAGACAGAGAGAAUAUAAAUUUAUUCAUGGAAGCAUUUCAAAUCUUAGCACACACAUUUGUGAGAUUGAUUUACUAGGAUACAUCAUGACAGUUAUGAGUAUAUUUUAAACAGAGAUACAGUCUGUCUUUGAAAGAUAUGCCUUGUCAAUUGUGGCUGCAAACUCGAUGUAAUUUUAGACUGCUUUCUUUUUUUAUGUAUUGAUAUUGCAGUGAUAUCAGUGCUAACAAAUUAGAUAGAUGCAGAAUUCUUUGAAAUAUUAGCUAAAACCAAAUAUACAGUAUUUUUCUUGUGAUAGCUGUAAAAAUCCUCAAAUGUAAUUUUAACUUUAUUCAGAUACAGGCACAAUGAUUUGUUGAAAUAUGCCAGAGAAAAUGCAGUCAAAGAAAAGUACACAGACAGAAGGAACGUGGCUCAAAGGGUUUGGCAUUUUUGAACAAGACUUAAACUUUGUUAUCUGCACAUCAAUAUUUUGUGGCACUGUGGCUUGUAAAGAGCAUGUGUUUGUUCAUUUAAUUAACAGUGCUCAUAAUACAGCAUCUUAAAUAUGAGCAGGUUGGUCAUUUUGCAGUAUCUCUGUUAACAGUGACUGCAUAAGCAAACCCAGAUCUUCUCGUUUUGUACGAUGUGAUACCCAGUGGACACAGAAUAGCACAGAAGAACAAACCACUGCCCAUCCCUGACCAUGUUGUAGCUGUGUGUGGCUGUGGUCAUGUGAAAAUGUUCUUGCCAUUUAGCAUGUGUCAAUCUCAAAUGCUAACUCAGCUUAUUAAAACUUGUUCAAGUGAAAAGAGUUCUACAGGCUUGUAAUGAUAUGGUUUCUCCUGGACUAGGUUUCAGUAGUGAGCUGGCGACAAUCAGAAGUAUUUUGUCUAUUUCCAGCCCCAUCUGUUGAUAGUAAUUCCUUGCAAGUAAUUUCUGUCCUUUUUCAGUGAGACUAUGUUUGAAUAAUCAAUGGAAAUUUUACUACUUAAGGCUCUGAACCUUGUAAAUUAGCCAAUGAUUCUGUAGCUCCAUGUUGCUACAGUGUUGGCUGGUACAGAGCAUAACAGUGAGACAGAAUAACCCAGAAAUGACAUUGCUGGAGCUUAGAUGUGAUUCAGAUUUUCUGAAUGAAAUAGCAGCCUUUUUUUUUUUUCCCUACUGUUUUCCUCACAGAAGAUGGGGAAAUUGAACUGUGAGUUUUGGGUAGUGGGACAAAGGAACUGUGAGGCUGAUAGAGCACCCAAACUUCCAAAAACCAUCUUAGUUUCAAGUGAUCGAUGAGCUCCGUACUGAAACUAAGACCUGAGUUCAGGACUCUGAGCUGGUCCACAGACAUUUCUAUUCAUUGUGAGAGUGCACAGCAUUUCCUGAACCCCACCAGUGUAAUUUCUAACUCUGUAAUGCUUGAGACAGUUUUUCUGUGAACUUUUGCCCUCCGUUUGUAAGAAAGGGAAAAAUUUGAAAGACUAUCCAGCAGAGAAAAUUGCAUCAUUACUUCAAUGUGAUAAGAGUAGGAGAGAGAAGGGGUGAGAUGUGAGGCAAGGUUCCUCGCUGGUCUCUGCCUGCCUCAAGGGGCAUGGGAUUUGGACAAAAUCAGUCUUUGCAAAGACAGAAAAAAUUGUUGGGUUAGAGUCAAACAUACAAUUCAAAAAUUUUCAUGUUAACCUAUAAUCUGAUGAAAUGUAAUGAACUGUGUUUUAUUGGAGGCAUUAAACAUUGUUCAAAUGCAUGGGAAAUAGACAUCAUCUUCUGAAAAUGAGGCUUGGUACUACAGGAUGGAAAAGCAAAACAUACAGGGCCAAAUCCUUUUCACCUCACUGGAACAAGUUAUUCCACUGAAACCAGUGGAGUAUUUCUGUUAAAAUUUGCUCUUGAUCAGUAUGGAAUGACCUGUUACUGCUACUAAUUGAGCUUCUUUCUGAAGCAAAGUUCAACAGAUGUGAAGCUGUCUUCUUGUACAGUGGAAUUCACUCUGGUACACAGCCUGACAUCCAAGCCCUGCUGGCAGCCAGCUGAGGUGUUGAGUGGAAAUCAUAAGUAAUGGCAAGUAAUUUUACACUGAGACUUAAUUAAGGCAG